AGGGCUUAGGGGAUAGAAGGCAGUUAAGCUUCUAAUAAAGUCUUUGUCCCUUGAGUUUCAGGGGGUGACGAUGAUCCAGAGCAAGGGGCAGAAAGAUUACCCAAUCACAGAGAGAAGGGGAACCAUGUACUUCAGGCUUUUGAAAUCUUGGUCAGCCCACACCUCCAACCCUCCAGAUCUACCAGGUUGUUUUGAUUUUAACUUUUCCUUUGAAGUGUCAUCAAGUCUGACUGAUAAAUUUUUUUUCAAGUGGAUCAAAAUGAGACUGAAUCCCUUCAGGAAGCAGGGCUGGUUCUGUGUGUGGUGGUGUAUGUCCACUUGAGGUCUGACUAGUCAAAGGUUCCAUUAUCUGAGGGGCUGAUGGUCACUCCAGACACAACAUAAGGGGAUAUGAAGCCCACUUCUGUUGUUGCCAGUGAAUGUUGUGUGGAUAUUAAUUAGAUGUACAAUAUCUACUUGAAGACAGUCUAGGAAUAAAAACAAGAGUGCGUUAUUGAAAGAUAGCAAGUGGACACCUUUGAUAAAGGUUUCAAAGGAUGGAAUUACAGAGAAAGAAAAUCACCUCUUAAAGGGGGACUUUAGGCCAUUAAGGUUGGAUGUGGGGCAAGCUGGAGGCAAUCUGUAAAUGCAUCAGAAGAUAUAAUAAUUUCUCAUCUAUGCACCAUGGUGGUCAAAAUCUUUCUUUUGGUUCUUUGAGCAUCUUCUCUCUUUAGUACAUGUGCAAGUGACCAAGUUCAUGUUUCCUGGAGGUAACAUUAAAAAAAUAGGGGAACUUAGCUGGAACUUGCCAGUUUGGAGACCAAAACAGGACAAGGACUUAGUAGGGGAUUUAGAGAUUGGUGAGAGAAGACCAGCUCUAAAGGCAUUUUUGCUAUAUAUAUAUAAAUAUGUGAUUUCCAUAGCUAUCUGGCUCGUCCUAACAGUCCUUAGUCUUUGUGGGAAAUUCAGAAAAGUGUAAAGAAGAAAAAAAUGAUCAGACACAAACACAUAUCAAUACUUUGAUGCACUUCCUUCUCAGUCUAUUUUGAGCAGAGUGAAUUCUGGCCCAGAGUUUUUCAAUUAAUGUUAAAUUGUGGACAUUUCUCUGUCAAAAAGAAUCCUUCAUAAAUGUUAUUUUUGAUAGCUACAUUGUAUUCCAACUUUGGGAUCUACUGUCAAUUUUAAAACUUCAUUCAGAUUAUUAAAUUAAAAUAUGCAUGUGUUUCUG
rnacentral:lncRNA from 1 species